UGUCGGGGAGCCCUGGUAGCCGCGAAGCGGUGGACUCGAGGGCUGAGAUCGGUACGGCCGAACCCGUUGAACCUGAUCAGGUUGAUGCCUGCGGAGGGAACAAG
rnacentral:ncRNA from 1 species